rnacentral:rRNA from 1 species
AGGACGAACGCUGGCGGCGUGCUUAACACAUGCAAGUCGAGCGGAAAGGCCCUUCGGGGGUACUCGAGCGGGCGAACGGGUGAGGUAACGACGUGAGUAAUCUGCCCCUAGCUCUGGGAUAGCUCCGGGAAACCGGGAUUAAUACCAGAUAUGACCACUUUAGACAUCUGCUGUGGUGGAAAGAAUUUCGGCUAGGGAUGGACUCGCGGCCUAUCAGCUAGUUGGUGGGGUAAUGGCCUACCAAGGCGACGACGGGUA